GACAGAGGGUGCAAACGUUGUUCGGAUUUACUGGGCGUAAAGCGCGUGUAGGCGGCUUUGCAAGUCGGAUGUGAAAGCCCACGGCUCAACCGUGGAAGUGCAUCCGAAACUGCAUGGCUCGAGUCUCGGAGAGGAAGGUGGAAUGCUUGGUGUAAGAGGUGAAAUUCGUAGAUAUCAAGCAGAACACCUGCGGCGAAGGCGGCCUUCUGGACGGAUGACUGACGCUGAGACGCGAAAGCGGUGGGGAGCAAACAGG
rnacentral:rRNA from 1 species